CACUAUGCCCAGCCAUAAACAUUGAUAGCGAACUACACCUGCUAUCCGCCUGGGAACUACGAGCAUCAGCUUGAAACCCAAAGGACUUGGCGGUGCUUUAGAUCCACCUAGAGGAGCCUGUUCUAGAACCGAUUACCCCCGUUCAACCUCACCUUUUCUUGUUUUCUCCGCCUAUAUACCACCGUCGUCAGCUUACCCUGUGAAGGACUCAUAGUAAGCAAGAUUGGCAUAGCCCAAAACGUCAGGUCGAGGUGUAGCGUAUGGAAAGGGAAGAAAUGGGCUACAUUCCCUAACACAGUGAAUUACGAACGAUACAUUGAAAUAUCUAUUUGAAGGAGGAUUUAGCAGUAAGCAGAAAAUAGAGCGUUCCGCUGAAACCGGCCCUGAAGCGCGCACACACCGCCCGUCACUCUCCCCAAGCUUAUAACACUAAGUACCUAAAACCUUAAAACUGCAAAGGGGAGGCAAGUCGUAA
rnacentral:rRNA from 1 species